rnacentral:lncRNA from 1 species
CGCAUUUAUUGAUGAACUGCACAGCCUCCAUGUAUGCAUGCCAAUUUCAAGCACAACUCCAUAUACAGACUUUAUAGUGACUUUUUGUUGCGACAGUAAAAGAAAAAACGGUAAGCCGUUUCUUAUUGAUUGUUUACAAACGUUACAUAUUAGUACGACGUACACAUUUUGUGUCCUUCGGGGAUUUUGACUAUGUUUAUUUUCUCUGACAUUUUUUUUCUCUUAGGAGUUAAUUUCAUCGCCUUUUCUAUGUGCUUCCUUUCACCAUUGACUCUCAGAAGAUUCCUCCUGCAUAAAGAUACAAAUUCACCGUGUUGAUUCGUUUAUACUAUUUAAUUUAAAAAAUAUUACUACAUGUAGUUGGUUGAAAGUUAAACUGAAAUGUUACUGUCAAAAUGUGUUUUCAUGUAAAUUGUUUUGAUAGCUUGAUGUUACUUUUUCAUGAACAAAAUUGUACACUCUUUGUCCUUUCUAAUUGAAUUCAUUGUCCAAAACAUAUCUAAAAGUUACGCAUGUUAUCACAUGUAACUGUUCCGAAUCAUUAAAUUAUUUCACAAUAUUAAAUAAACCUAAGGGUGUCCCCGUAUCAGAAUAAUGUAAUGCAGACUUCUCUAACAGAACGCGAGCUGUAUAAAUACGAAGCCAUACUCGGUUGGAAUUGCAUCGUGAACUUCAAUUCCCUUUGUUUGUAAGAUGCUAAGCACUUUCCACGCAAAAAACAUUUGAAACACAUUUUGAAGGGUUGGUACAUUGUACGUAGUAGUUUAAAUUCCAGCACGUUUCAAACAUUCCAUUCAUUACACCAAUAGUCCAAACCUGUCCUUCAUUCCGAACGAGCGUUUUGCAAUACUUACUCAUUUAAUGUGAUGUUUCAUAUGUGUCUUCCUGAGAAUUGAUUAAAUAAUUGCGGUUGAACAAAAAGUUACAAAAGUGCAUACGAGUCAGAGAAAGGAUUUAUACAAUGAAACUAACAUAUUUGAUGUGCGCCUUCGGUCAGAGUCUCAAUUUGUUUUAGAUUUUACGAACAAAGAAUAUAAAUGAACUGUAUUUGAAUCACAGGAUAUAAGCAUUUUAUGACAUAUAGUAACUGAUAUGAUUUCUUUUUUUAAGAUUUUUCUAUCAAGUACAAUGCUGUUAUGUUUUGAUAUACUUUUUGAAUUUGGCCAAUUCGAAUCUAAAUUUAUACACAACCCUUUGCGUUUUUGUUUCUAUCGUUUUUACAUAAUUUGUUUGAAUUUAUUAGUCAUGAACAAAUGUACAUGAACUGAACUGCUUUAAUUCUUCAGUGGGAUCAACAGCCGCAACAACUGUUACACUGUUGGGAGUCUUUCAGAUCAACAAGGCUUUUACCUCAAGUUAUCGCAACGUUCCAUUUUUUCUUAUUAAUUUGAAAUUGCAUGACUAAACAUUUUAAUAGUGGUUGUGUAAUUUGAGAAUAUUGCCCUACUUAUACUAAAACAAAAAAACAAAAAACAAAAAAAACAAAACCAUAAGCAAUGAACUAUGCAAAUGUGUCUUUUCUCAUUCAAUUGAACAUUUUGGUUAAAUGUACGCAUUACUACAUUAACAGAAUGAUGAAUGCUUCCCUUACCAACCAUUGAGUCGUAAAGGUCUUUUUUAUAGUGUUGAAUUGACAGAUAUUUAAGAAUGUCUUAUGCAUCGUGUUUAUAUUUUAGCAGUUAGCAUGUUCCUGUCAGCUUUGGUAGUUGUUGUAACAACAAGCUUGGUCCUUGUGCAAUGUCAUGAUUGUAAAGAUUAUGACUUAUCGGCAUCUGACCAGUCUUUUCUAAUGAAGCAUUAUCUUCGUACAACUAGAAAAGAGGAAGGCAUUUCAACAGGAAAGCCGAUUGCUUCAGGCAUGAAUAUUUAAUAUGUAUAACUUGUGUCAAAAAAAUAGAUCUAAAAAAGGAAAAUAAAACAAAACAAUACAAGACAAAGCAAGAACGAAAGAAAGAAAACAACAAGAAAACAACGUAUACACAAUUUUAUACAAAAGAUUGAAACAUAAAAUUAAUGUCAAAACUAAAUCAAAAAUACACAAAAGAUAUUGCAUCUUUCCAAUAAUAAAACAUACCUUUUGUAAAUGAUGAAAUAAUGCAGCUGAACAAAACAGAUUUAAUUUUAUGUGAAAAAUUAAAAAAAGGGUCAAUUAACAAUCAAACAUCACCCAUCGACACCAAUUCCUGCCUAACAUGUAUUUUUUUUUAAUAUCCGCUUUACUUGUGAGAGGAAGGGAGACAUAAAAAGUACAUGAAGAAAUCACAAAAAAGUUUUAUUCGUGCUUUAUGAAUCUGGUUGUGAACGCAUUUCCAAAUUUAAAUAAUUUCAUUUAAAUCACAUCAGCAUAAUGUAUCACAAGCACGUAAUUUAGAAUUUAGAGGCAAAAUUAAUGAUACAUUUUGCAAAUCAACACACUUUACUAUUACUAAUAAAAUUGAGAGAGGAAAUGGGGAAUGUGUCAAAGCGACAACAACCCGACCAUAGAGCAGACAACAGCCGAAGGCCACCAAUGGGUUUUCAAUGUAGCGAGAAACUCCCACACCCGUAGGCGUCAUUCAGCUGGUACCUUAAAAGAUAUGUAUACUAGUACACAACUCCGAAUUAUAUACAAGAAACUAAAAUUAAAAAUCAUACAAGUCUAACAAGCGCCAGAAGUUCCUGACUUGGGACAGGCGCUAAAUUGUGACGGGGUUAAACAUGUUUAUGAGAUCUCAACCCUCUCCUAUACCUCCAACCAAUGCAGAAAAGUAAACGCAUAACAAUACGCACAUUAAAAUUCAGUUCAAGAGAAGUCCGAAUCCAAUGUCAGAAGAAGUAACAAACGAAAAUAAAUAAAAUGACAAUAAUACAUAAAUAACAACAGACUACUAGCAGUUAACUGACAUGCCAGCUCCAGGCCUCAAUUAAACUGAUUGAAAGAUUAUGUCUUCAUCAUAUGAAUAUCAGGCACAAUCCUUCCGUUAGGGGUUUUGUAUCAUGCUAUCAUAAAAUAUAUGAGAAGAACAUAACCCGUGUCAUGCCAACAACUGUUUUUAAAUAGAUGUGUUUAGUUUCGAUGCAAAGACCCUAUAAGUGAAUCAAUAUAUAAAGCCAAAAUUGUGCAAUCUUUAAUGACCUGACAACAGUAUCGUAACUAUAUCCCUUCUUAAAAAGUCUGUUUAAAGUUGUGUAACGGUGUUUGAGACGAAUACUGACAUUUUUUUGCUUUGUAAAGAAUAUUACCAUAAAAGAUUAGAUGUGAAAUUCCUGAACGUAUAAGAUGUCUGUAUGUUGAGUUAUAUUAACGAAUUAUUUUCUUAUACCGAUGAUAAAAUUUAGUGUUUAUUUACGUACAUUUGUAGGUGUAACAUAUGUACGUUGGGGAAAGAAAGGAUGUCCGAAAGGAGUAGAAAUGGUUUAUACAGG